rnacentral:rRNA from 1 species
AGAGUGAACGCUGGCGGCAGGCCUAACACAUGCAAGUCGAACGGCAGCACGAGAGAGCUUGCUCUCUUGGUGGCGAGUGGCGGACGGGUGAGGAAUACGUCGGAAUCUGCCUUUUUGUGGGGGAUAACGUAGGGAAACUUACGCUAAUACCGCAUACGACCUACGGGUGAAAGCGGAGGACCUUCGGGCUUCGCGCAGAAAGAUGACGCCGACGUCGGAUUAGCUAGUUGGAGGGGUAAUGGCCCA